CCGGUGUGGAUGCCGGCCGGCAUCGAUUGCAAUUGUAAACGGAAUUAAAAAAGCGUCUUUUCGUUUCCUUCUCGAACUGGUCGGAGCCACAUGCCAUUGCCAAACGGAGAGCCAUCAGAACAUUUACGUCGGAUAAAGGACGUGUUUGGAAACGGCGUUCACCUCCACGAGGCUACACGGCGGAAUAUGCAUUGUGUGAAAAUCUGGAGAACCUCACAGGCGCCAGGUCCCGAUAAAGUGAUGGAAAAAAGAACAGAUGGCAAACGGGAGUGAACAUUUUGGUUUAAAAACGGAAGUCACUUCAUUAUCAGGCAGAUUUAUCCAGGCGUGAGUAAGAUGAUGGGUCAAUCCUCAUCUCCAAGUAAUACGGUGAUCGAAGCAAAUCUGACAUUAAAUAAAAAAUAAGUUGCGUGUUUCAAAAACAAAUUCAGCGAUCAAACGAACGAAAGCAAUGGUAUGUUAGAACGUAGUCCAAAAUCAACAACCCAAAAUACUUCCACGAGCGACGAUGAUUCCACGGUGGACUUGUUCGAUUGGGAUUUGCAAGCCUUCUGUGCACAACUCGAUCGAAUCGCCAGCAACGAUGACAACCGGAAGACUACGCCCGAAGAAGCAGCUUCCGAAGAUUGUGAUGAAAUCCCUGAUGCUAUCAGAAAAUAAAUGUUUCCAUCGAGUACGAACCCUCGAGCUGAUCUCAACUGUUCAUGGAGGUAGUGACUCGAGAGCCGAACCGCCCUUCAUCCAGCAACAGAAAUUUCAAACGCAGCGUGAUUACACCACCUACUCGCAGUACAUCCGGAACGAGUACACGAUGUUGGAGGAGAACAGAUCGAACGUAAUCGAUGAUGGACACCCAACGGGUACGAGAGUUCGAUUCAAGCCAGCGUCGAACGGACGUGGAGAAAGAUUUCUGAAUGUUUGGGCCAACAUGAGCAACAUUAAUUGGGAUGAAAUCGGCUGGAGGAAGUCGGCACCGUUGGUUUCGUCGCACUUCCAGAGGCUGGGUCCAAUGGGUCCAUUCUAUGGGCUGCCGAAUAAGAUAAUAGAUUUGCUGAGGUAGUUCCGUGGUAUUCCGGAGAUGUAUGGCAAGUACUAAGCCCUGCACUGGGCAUAUUUACGAGUUCUCAUUCGACGAAUAGUUCCCGUCUCCCGAAGGUCGAAGACCGGCUGGACGCCGCCAGUGCAACAGCCAGCGUCACCAGCGAGUGCAAUCACAACCACCCAAAUCCGCCGUCACUCAACAUCAAAUCCAGUUAUCAACAGCGGAGCAACAUUCUGGUAGUUUUCGUUCCGAUUACAGGAACCUCCAGCAGGAAAACCCCUUUGUUAUAGCCGCCCAGGUGCCAUGCUCAUGAAGGAAACCCCCAACUCUAGCCGCAGCUCGUUAUUUUUCUCACGGAUACGGAACGGAUACUGGUGAAAUCCGCAUCGGCAUCGAUAUUCUGUCAAAAAUCCAAUUGAACGCAAUUGAAUGUA